UUGGCAGAACAAACAGUUGCUUCAGAAAAUCCUGCACAAGGUUUCUCCGAGCCACCCGAGCCAUUUCUUAGGCCGAUUGUUGAAAUGACUGUCUCUCGUCCAUUUCGAGAGAGGUCAUUUAUGCACAAUGUCCGCGCGGCUUAUGCAAAUCGGUGUGCGAUCACUGGUCUGCGAUUGAUAAACGGAGGCGGUCGGCCUGAAGUUCAGGCUGCUCACAUCCAGCCUGUCGCAUCAAAUGGACCAGACU
rnacentral:misc_RNA from 1 species